CCCGCCCCCGCUCCCCCAAUCAGGUGCAGCAGCCGUGCCUGGAGGCGGGUGCUGGGGACACAGGUGACACGGACCCCGCGGGGAGGGCAGGGGCAGCACAGCGGGGUAAAAAGCUGCCACAGAGCCAUGAACUGAGGGCACCAGGCCUCUUCUGUAUUUAGCAUCCUCCAAUAGUAACUGGAUUACUAGCCUCAGAACUGUAAGCUAACCAUAAAUCAGAACGUGAUAAUGAAACAACCUGAUGAUCUGAGAGUUCAGCACCCACAGGAGACAGAAGGCAGGAUGCCACGUGGUGAGGAUGAUUGGAAUAGCAGCGCCCCAAAAGAAGAUAUGUGAAAAAGAACAAUUAAAAGCAUCCACUCUAA